UCCUAGGUUAAAACCUAGCUAACCUUAUUAUAAAAAAAUAGAGUAAGAGAAGAAAAAAAAAAAGAAAAAAAAAAUUAAAACCUUGAAAACCUUGGAGCAGCAGUACUCCACGUUAUUCUUUUUUUCAACAAAAGACUUACACUAAAUUGCAAAAAGAUUAUCAACCAUCACAGACAUCAAUCGCCACUCAUCCGGGUUUAAUAGUUCUUGUUUUUCUUGGUGGUUUCUCAAAGGAGAAACUUUUGGGUUAUUUGGACUUGCGGUUUCGGGUCGAGAAACGGGUCAAUAGGUCGAGAUUGUUGGGUCCUUUAUAGUGUAAUUUCACCUCAGUACUUCCCUUUAAUCAAAUUGCGGGUUCGUAGAGGAACCUUUUUGACUUGAGAUUGAGGUACAUUAACUGUGGUUGCUGAUAAGGGACUUGAAGAUAGUUAGCUCCAGUUGGGUUAAAGAGUGCGUUGGAUCCUUUUGAUUUAAUAGGACUUUUAAAAAGACUUCCGCUGUUAUUCAUUUAUAAGAUUUAUGUUCUGGUUUGUAAUAAUUAAUUUACAUUCUAUUUAGUUGGUCUGUAAUAAUUAGUUAAAACUUAUUGUUUAUUGUUUUAGUUAGAACCAUUAGCCUUGCGGUUAUUAUUAAUAAUUAUCGCGGCGUAUCACCUUUGGA